rnacentral:rRNA from 1 species
GUAGGUGGCAAGCGUUGUCCGGAAUUAUUGGGCGUAAAGCGCGCGCAGGCGGUUCUUUAAGUCUGAUGUGAAAGCCCACGGCUCAACCGUGGAGGGUCAUUGGAAACUGGAGAACUUGAGUACAGAAGAGGGAAGCGGAAUUCCACGUGUAGCGGUGAAAUGCGUAGAGAUGUGGAGGAACACCAGUGGCGAAGGCGGCUUUCUGGUCUGUAACUGACGCUGAGGCGCGAAAGCGUGGGGAGCAAACAGGGAUUAGAUACCCUGGUAGUCCACGCCGUAACCGAUGAGUGCUAAGUGUUAGGGGGUUUCCGCCCCCUUAGUGCUGCAGCUAACGCAUUAAGCACUCCGCCUGGGGAGUACGGCCGCAAGGCUG